rnacentral:rRNA from 1 species
GACGUAGGGCGCGAGCGUUGUCCGGAUUUAUUGGGCGUAAAGAGCUCGUAGGCGGUUUGUCGCGUCGUCCGUGAAAACUCACAGCUUAACUGUGAGCUUGCGGUCGAUACGGGCAGGCUAGAGUUCGGUAGGGGAGACUGGAAUUCCUGGUGUAGCGGUGAAAUGCGCAGAUAUCAGGAGGAACACCGGUGGCGAAGGCGGGUCUCUGGGCCGAUACUGACGCUGAGGCGCGAAAGCGUGGGGAGCAAACAGG